rnacentral:rRNA from 1 species
GAUGAACGCUGGCGGCGUGCCUAAUACAUGCAAGUCGAGCGAAUGGAUUAAGCGCUUGCUCUUAUGAAGUUAGCGGCGGACGGGUGAGUAACACGUGGGUAACCUGCCCAUAAGACUGGGAUAACUCCGGGAAACCGGGGCUAAUACCGGAUAACAUUUUGAACCGCAUGGUUCGAAAUUGAAAGGCUGCUUCGGCUGUCACUUAUGGAUGGACCCGCGUCGCAUUAGCUAGUUGGUGAGGUAACGGCUCAACAAGGCCACGAUGCGUAGCCGAGCUGAGAGGGUUGUCGGGCAAACCGGGAACGAGACACGGGCCAGACUCCUACGGGAGGCAAGAAGAGGGGAUCUUCCGAAAAGGGCGAAAGUCUGACGGAGCAACGCCGCGUGAGUGAUGAAGGCUUUCGGGUCGUAAAACUCUGUUGUUAGGGAAGAACAAGUGCUAGUUGAAUAAGCUGGCACCUUGACGGUACCUAACCAGAAAGCCACGGCUAACUACGUGCCAGCAGCCGCGGUAA